UCCCUGGUGGCUCAGAUGGUAAAGCAUCUGCCUGCAAUGCAGGAGACCUGGGUUCGAUCCCUGGGUUGGGAA
rfam:TPA: Bos taurus chromosome 24, whole genome shotgun sequence.